AUGGUUAUUACUGCCCAAAAAAACUGUCUCAUCAAAGGGUUGGCCUCUGGGCUAAUCGUGGGAGGGGUGGGCAUCCUUCAAUAUGCUGACGACACUGUCCUAUGUUUUGAACAUGAUACUGACAAGGCUGUCAAUGUCAAGCUGUUGCUGUAUAUUUUCGAGCUCAUGUCUGGGUUGAAAAUCAAUUACGAUAAGAGUGAGGUGUUUGUGGUGGGAGGGGAUAAUGAAACUGACAGGAUAUAUGCAGAGAUAUUUGGCUAUCGUGUGGGAACCUUACCCAUGAGGUACUUGGGAGUACCAGUUACCUAUUCCACUCUUAAGAACAUUGAGCUGGAUUUCUUAGAUGCCAAAAUGGUCAAAAAACUUGAUGCAUGGGUUGCAUAUGCAGCCUCCUCGGGUGCUAGACUCACUUUACUAGAUUCUAGAUUGGAUGGUAUUCCAUCCUACCUGAUGUCCAUGUUCCUAUUUAACAAAACAUUUAUUGAGAAGAUUAAUAAGCAUCGCAGAUGCUUCUUUUGGAGGAGGAAGAAUAAGAAGCGUGCUUAUCACAUGGUUAAAUGGGCUAGGGUUUGCCGGUCGAAGAGAAUUGGUGGCUUGGGGAUAAAAGAUCUUCGCAAGCAAAACAUUAGUCUCCUUCUGAAAUGGUGGUGGAACUUAGAAACUAAUGAUGGACUAUGGCAACAUAUUGUCCGAGCAAAAUAUUUCAGGAACAAAACUGUUGUGAAUAUCUGCAGCCAUUUUUCUGAUUCUCCUUGCUGGAAAUCCAUUAUGAAGGUCAAAGAUACUUAUAUGGCUGGGAGGAGAAUCAUCAUUAAUAAAGGAGAUUUAGCCAGGGUUUGGCACGACCCAUGGAUAGAUAACUGCACAUUACGGGCUCGUUUUCCUAUCUUAUAUGACAUCUGUCAAAAUCAAGAUUGCACUAUUGCCUCCUUUGCAGCCAACAACUAUGAUCUAGCUUUUAGACGUAGGUUGUUUGGUACAUUAGAGGAGCAAUGGAACUGGGUGGUGUGCAAUGCUAGAAAGAAAUCUUUGAAUGAGAAUCCUGACAUUGUUUCCUGGUCCUUGAAUAGUGGGGGUAAAUUUACCACUAAAUUUGUGUACGAGUGGCUGGAGAGAGACUUAUCUGGCCCUAACUAUAAAGGGGUGUGGAAAGCUGCGAUCCCCAUGAUUUUUUUCUAUGGCAGCUAUUCCAAAAUGCUAUGCUUACGCGCGAUAACAUGCGAUAUAGGAAUUGGCCAGGAAAUCAUGUGUGCUCUUUUUGCACGGAUGUGGAAACUGCUAAUCAUCUCUUUUUCACUUGUCCGCUCGCCCGCACGGCCUAGGGCGUGCUGGGGUUGA
rnacentral:rRNA from 1 species